AUACUGAGGAGAACUGAGAGAGGCUAGGUAGCUCCCGGUGCUUCCCCAGGCCCCCAGCCCCAUCCCUCAGCUGAGGACUGCACCUUCCUCUCCCACCCAGGCUGUACCUGUCACUGCCCUCCACUCCACCAGGCUCAGCACACAGUAGGGCCUUAGUCAGUUUGCCCUUAUGCCUGUAUGCUCUGGGCAGAUUCAAAGCACUUUCCCCUAAUUACCCACAGGGCGCCAUCUCUCCACCACUACCCCUAUGCACACACACUCCCAUUGGGGCUGGGGAGAGUUCCCCCGACCCUGGACCCAAAUCAGGCACUUCGACCUGAGCGAGCCCCUCCUGUGCCUCAUUGACCCACUCGAAGUCCAUUUAUUCUUCCUUUUGACACAGUCCUGAUGCCUUGGGUGCUUCCAUUUCCUAGGCUGGAGGUGAAUUAGAAAGAUGCAUGGGAGGAGAGAGGGCCCAGGAAGAGAGAAGACAGGUGGUAAGUUGGUUUUGUCGAUAACAUUUGCAGCCAAAUUUCAAGGGAGGCCCUAGAGCCACUGUAUAACACAGACGUGACACCUAUGGGGCGCUUGUUGAAGGACACGCGGAUGCUCUGCUGGUUUGGUGGCUGUGAUGACUUCAUGCAAAUGGAAGCUACAUUUGUAUGACACUUUGUUAAAGCAAAUUAGGUAUAAAUAAAGAUUCAUGCCCAAA
rnacentral:lncRNA from 1 species